rnacentral:tmRNA from 1 species
GGGGUUGUCUAGUUUCGACAAGUUGUAGUUUAAAAAUAUGCAAGCUGACCAUUAUGGUUGCGUCAUGAAACCGUCCAUAAACGAUAUAAGUGCAAACUUCUUAUCAAAAGUAAAGGCGACUUUCGCAAGUUCGUUCGCUUUUGCUCCUGCUUUAGCUUAACUGUCUGAAGCCAUCGGCCUGCCAAUGCUCAAUAGACAGCUGCCGGUGUCAAUCAUUGAGCUGGUUGUUUGCGGUUCCCUGCUGUAAACAAUAAGAAUUGCCAGGGAAAGAUGACCGAUCUUUUGUUUAUUUUGAUUCGGUCAUUCUCAACAAAUAAACUAAGCUUGUAGAAUAUUUUUAAAUAACGAUUUUGGACAUGGGUGCAAUUCCCAUCAACUCCACCG